rnacentral:rRNA from 1 species
AGUGAACGCUGGCGGUAGGCCUAACACAUGCAAGUCGAACGGCAGCACAGUAAGUGCUUGCUCUUACGGGUGGGGAGUGGCGGACGGGUCAGGAAUACAUCGGUCUCUACAUUUCCGUGUGGGCCCACGUAGGGAAACCUACGCUCAUACAGCAUACGACCUACGGGUGAAAGCCGGGGAUCUUCGGACCUUGCGCGAUUGAAUGAGCCGAUGUCGGAUUAGCUAGUUGGCGGGGUAAAGGCCCACCAAGGCGACGAUCCGUAGCUGGUCUGUGAGGAGGAUCAGCCACUGUGGGGCUGAGAGACGGGACAGACUGCGACGGGAGGCGACAGUGGGGAAGAUAGGACAAUGGGCGCAAUCCUGCUCCAUCGGUACGGGGCGGGUGAAGAAGGCCUUCGAGUUGUAGAGCCCUUUUGUUGGGAAAGAAAAGCAGCGGUUGAGUACACGGGUGUUCUGACGGUACCCGAAGAAGAAGCACCGGCUAACUUCGUG